GAUGAACGCUGGCGGCGUGCCUAAUACAUGCAAGUCGAGCGAACGGACGAGAAGCUUGCUUUUCUGAUGUUAGCGGCGGACGGGUGAGUAACACGUGGAUAACCUACCUAUAAGACUGGGAUCACUUCGGGAAACCGGAGCUAAUACCGGAUAAUAUUUUGAACCGCAUGGUUCAAAAGUGAAAGACGGUCUUGCUGUCACUUAUAGAUGGAUCCUCGCUGCAUUAGCUAGUUGGUAAGGUAACGGCUUACCAAGGCAACGAUGCAUAGCCGACCUGAGAGGGUGAUCAGCCACACUGGAACUGAGACACGGUCCAGACUCCUACGGGAGGCAGCAGUAGGGAAUAUUCCGCAAUGGGCGAAAGCCUGACGGAGCAACGCCGCGUGAGUGAUGAAGGUCUUCGGAUCGUAAAUCUCUGUUAUUAGGGAAGAACAUAUGUGUAAGUAACUGUGCACAUCUUGACGGUACCUAAUCAGAAAGCCACGGCUAACUACGUG
rnacentral:rRNA from 1 species